GGCGUCUGGUGCUCAAGGAAAGUCAGCUCCCGCCGCCCCUCAGGGCCAGGUGGGUGCAUGAAGUACCCAGUGGCCCAGGUGCCUUUCCCCAACCCAAGGAGCUCAGAACUCUUGGCAGUUCGACGUUUGCAAACAAACCAAAGAGGAGCAGAAAGUUUUCAGACUCAGAGGCGCCAUCCCAACAGCUUGGCUUGAAGGAGUACUUUAGGACGCAGAACAACAGGAUGAAGACAGCAGCUAAAAUAGAACACACCAGCAGAGACGUUCAGCUCCUCGAGCUGUGCUUCCGAAGCUCAAGCAUGGCAGAGUGGCCUUGUUAAAUCAGAGUUGAGGGUGCCACCCUGACAGUUUCUGAUUCCGUUACCAGACCGGAGCCUCCACCAAUCCAGGAGCACAAACAAGGAUGCCUUAAAACAAAGCUUGUGUCAGGGUACCCUUCGCUGCCUCAGAGGAAAUCAGAAUGACCUGGUGGACAAUUGUUCAUAAGGACAAGAGCCAGCAUCACUGCCUUUGAGUCCCAGCCUCCUCGAAUCCAUUUUCUGCACUGCACCACCUCAUCAUAUCCCAGAUAUUGUUAGUGUCGUGUCAUUUCAUGACUCAGGAGCUGCGGGUGACUUUGGUAAGAGCGGAGCAGUCGCUGUCUCAUCUGUCACCUCCUCCCCUCACCUCUGUGCAGCCAACAUCCAGGGAGCCUGCCUCUUGCUGUCCUUUUCAAAGCUUUCUGGGUCUCUCCUCUGUGCCUCUGAUCCGGUCUUUCAUGCUGCCCAGAACACUGUCUCUUUCUCCCAUGCCAGUGACAUCCAUUACUUUCUUCAAGGUCUGGCUCAAAACCCAGCACUCGGCCAGGCACGGUGGCUCACACUUGUAAUCCCACCACUUUGGGAGGCCAAAGCAGGCAGAUCACGAGGCCAGGAGAUUGAGACCAUCCUGGCUAACACAGUGAAACCCUGUCCUACUAAAAAUACAAAAAAUUAGCCGGGCGUGGUGGCAGGUGCCUGUAGUCCCAGCUACUCGGGAGGCUGAGGCAGGAGAGUGGCAUGAACCCGGGAGGCGGAGCUUGCAGUGAGCCAAGAUAGCACCACUGCACUCCAGCCUGGGUGACAGAGCAAGACUCUGUCUCAAAAAAAAAAAAAAAAAAAACUCAGCACUCUUGGGAAAUUUCCCCUCCAGGGAGACAAGGUCACACAGGGCACAGAGAACCUUGGUGGGAGGCAGAAGCCCUAGGUUUGUUUAUGUCCUGGCUCAGACACUUUGCAGCCUCAUAGAUGACAUUAAACAAGCUCCUUAGCCUGUUAUCUUACUUUGGGCUACCCUAAAAGCAGAGACUAUGAUAUGGACUUGGAUAUAUGUAGUUAAUUUGGGAAGUGAUCCAGGGAAGCCAGAAUGAGGGGUGGGAAGUAGGAAAAAUCAAACAACUAUGUGUCAUUGAGCCCACUGCUCCUGUGGGCUACUGGAGAUCAGUCACACGGGGUACUCUCUGUGAACCGUGUUCAAAGCCCCUCAGAAUUGGCCCCCCAAAGAAUGGGAGGCUGGGAUCUCUAUCUAUUGACUGAACUCCUAUUCCCCAUGGUUGAAGGUUGCCCUGGGGGCACCACUGGGGGCUGACAAGACUCAAAGGCUUUCGAGAAAAGCCCUGAAACAGUGAAGUGAGGUGUGCUGGAAGUGGAGCACUGUCACCACCCACCUGCACACCACAGAGGUGGGCUAAGGGUGAAGUAUGGCUCACAAAAAUCUUCUGCUAAAUACCUGUCUGUGCCUCAGUUUCUUCCUCUUUAAGAUGGGGUAACUAUCCACAUUUUAGGGUAGCGUCAAAUGACAGGUGACAUAUGCGAAGGCCCCUCCCUCAGCACAUGCCAGCCACCCCAGCUCCCUUACUGUGUCCACUCAACACUUAACAACUGUUGUAUUCGUCAUGUCUACGUGCAUGUACGGUCCCUCAGUGUUAUCUAUGGCUAUUUCAGGUCCUUUAUCUUAGCUGAAGAUAAGGGCAGGUUCUUCCCUUCUUUUUUGUCACCCAUCCCAAAGUGCCUACCACACAGCUGAAUGCCAAGUAGGUCCUUGGUACAAAUGGGUGUCGAGUGAAUUUGCUGUCCCAAAACAGUCAUCUGUGAGCCUGUUCUCUUCCACGGAGAUGCCCUGCAAGGCCAUGGAGAAGCCAUAGGGCAGUGUCCUAGCCUGCUUCUUACAGCUGAGAGACCAGCUCCAACAUUGCGUGAGCCCAUUGCCAGACUGCUGGUGAAGUACCAUGCUCUGUGGCAAACACAUGGCAGCUUGGGGAGGGAAGUCUUCUGACGCCCUGAGCCCUGGCAGGGCAAUGGGCAGUAGAUCAAGCUGGCCUGCCCUGCGUGGGCCUUCAGCAGGGAUGCAGGCAAGGCUCCCAGAAGACAAUGACUCAGGCCUGCAUCUGUGACUGGUUAUUCCAGAUGCUGCCCUGCAAUGGGACUGUUCUCUGCUCCCCCCACCCCCGACACCCGUACAGCACGGGAAUGCAUGAGAGUGAGCCUUGGUUUCUUUAGGGGAGUCACUGCGUAAUUGGAGAGCAGUGUUCAUGGACAAGACAAAGGAGGGCCGGGGCAAGUAAGGGAAGAUGAGAAGAUGAUGUUCCAAACUACUCUCGGCAUAAAAUGUGCUUUGAAUAUUUUGGAUUAUUUUUCCAAUUGUAGAGAGAGUUUUCCCUGAGACACUGGUUCAUCACCAAGUCAGGUGACGCUGGGUCUGGGGCACUCUGCAUCUACAGCCUGGAACACAAUCGUCUUCUCUAGGCAAAACCACGUGACUCACAUGAGGCUCAAAGCUGGAGCCUUCUUGCUGUCUAUACCAUACUUAGCAAAGACAACAGGCUUAACUGCUCUGUGACAAAUGCUAAACAACUUCUCAAAAACAAUAAACAUCUUCUACCUACCUGAAUGUUUACAUUUAGACAGGCCUUUAAGAUUAUUAGUCUCUAUAAAAAUAUACAGGCAUACCUCAGAAAUAAUUCAAGUUCAGUUCCAGGCCACUGCAAUAAAGCAGAUAUCACAAUAAAGCAAGUCACACAAAUUUUGUGGUUCCCCAGUGCUUAUCAAAGCUGUGUUUGCACUAUACUAUAGCCUAUUAAGUGUGCAAUGAUAUUAUGUCUUUAAAAAAAGUACACACGCUAUUUUAAAAAGACCUUAUUGACAAAAAGUGCUGACAGACACAAAGUGAGCACAUGCUCUUGGGGAAAAUGGCACCGAUAGACUCAUUCGAUGCAGGGUUGCCGUGAAUUCAAUUUGUAAAAAACACAAUACCUGUGAAGCAUAAUAAAGUGAAAUGCAAUAAAACAAGGUAUACCUGUAAACAACUCUAAAAUCAGUUAUUUACUCUUUUUUCCCUUCACCUGGAAUUCCUACCUGGUUAUCUCUAACUACAGUAAUCCCAUCCUUAAGACCUUGCUCAAAUGCCCCCUCCUC